rnacentral:rRNA from 1 species
ACGGGUGCGUAACGCGUAUGUGACCUGCCCCGCAGAGGGGGAUAACUGGGAGAAAUCCCAGCUAAUACCCCAUACGUUCCGUACUGUAAGUGGUACGGAAGAAAGGGAGCAAAUGCUCUGCUGAGGGAGGGGCCUGCGUCCCAUCAGGUAGUUGGUGAGGUAACGGCUCACCAAGCCUACGACGGGUAGCCGGUCUGAGAGGAUGGCCGGCCACAAGGGCACUGAGACACGGGCCCUACUCCUACGGGAGGCAGCAGUGGGGGAUUUUGGACAAUGGGCGAAAGCCUGAUCCAGCGACGCCGCGUGCGGGAUGAAGCCCUUCGGGGUGUAAACCGCUGUGGUGGGAGACGAAUAAGGUAAGGAGUGGAAAGCCUUACCGAUGACGGUAUCCCACUAGAAAGCCCCGGCUAACUACGUGCCAGCAGCCGCGGUAAUACGUAGGGGGCAAGCGUUACCCGGAUUCACUGGGCGUAAAGGGGGCGUAGGCGGCCGUGUAAGUCCGGUGUGAAAUGCCACGGCUCAACCGUGGAACUGCGCUGGAAACUACACGGCUUGAGGACGGUAGAGGGAGACGGAACUGCUGGUGUAGGGGUGAAAUCCGUAGAUAUCAGCAGGAACGCCGGUGGGGAAGCCGGUCUUCUGGGCCGCUCCUGACGCUGAGGCCCGAAAGCUAGGGGAGCAAACCGGAUUAGAUACCCGGGUAGUCCUAGCCGUAAACGAUGCCCACUAGGUGUGGGGGAAUAAUUCCUCCGUGCUGUAGCUAACGCGUUAAGUGGGCCGCCUGGGGAGUAUGCCCGCAAGGGUGAAACUCAAAGGAAUUGACGGGACCCCGCACAAGCGGUGGAGCGUGUGGUUUAAUUGGACGCUAAGCCAAGAACCUUACCAGGGCUUGACAUGCCGGUGGUACCGACCCGAAAGGGGAGGGACCCACGUCGUAAGACGUGGGAACCAGCACAGGUGGUGCACGGUCGUCGUCAGCUCGUGCCGUGAGGUGUUGGGUUAAGUCCCGCAACGAGCGCAACCCCUGCUCUUAGUUGCCAGCGGUUCGGCCGGGCACUCUAAGAGGACUGCCGGCGACGAGCCGGAGGAAGGAGGGGAUGACGUCAGAUACUCGUGCCCCUUAUGCCCUGGGCGACACACGCGCUACAAUGGGUGGGACAGCGGGUUGCGACCCAGCGAUGGGGAGCUAAUCCCUUAAACCCACCCCCAGUUCGGAUUGCAGGCUGAAACCCGC